UGAACAAUAUGAAAUCAGUGCACCUUGAAA
rnacentral:piRNA from 1 species